rnacentral:tRNA from 1 species
GCUUUCGUGGUGUAAUGGUCAGCACCCUCGUCGCGUACCGAGAAAUCCGUGGUUCGAGUCCCGGCAAGGGCA